rnacentral:rRNA from 1 species
UGGGGAAUAUUGCACAAUGGGCGCAAGCCUGAUGCAGCCAUGCCGCGUGUAUGAAGAAGGCCUUCGGGUUGUAAAGUACUUUCAGUCGGGAGGAAGGUGGUAAGGUUAAUAACCUUGGCAAUUGACGUUACCGACAGAAGAAGCACCGGCUAACUCCGUGCCAGCAGCCGCGGUAAUACGGAGGGUGCAAGCGUUAAUCGGAAUUACUGGGCGUAAAGCGCACGCAGGCGGUUGAUUGAGUCAGAUGUGAAAUCCCCGGGCUUAACCCGGGAGUUGCAUCUGAUACUGGUCAGCUAGAGUCUUGUAGAGGGGGGUAGAAUUCCAUGUGUAGCGGUGAAAUGCGUAGAGAUGUGGAGGAAUACCGGUGGCGAAGGCGGCCCCCUGGACAAAGACUGACGCUCAGGUGCGAAAGCGUGGGGAGCAAACAGG